GACGAACGCUGGCGGCGUGCUUAACACAUGCAAGUCGAACGGAAAGGCCCUGCUUGCAUGGUACUCUAGUGGCGAACGGGUGAGUAACACGUGGGUGAUCUGCCCUGCACUUCGGGGUAAGCCUUGGAAACUGUGUCUAAUACCGGAUAUGAGCCAUUUUGAUUGAUAUGGUUGGAAAGUUUUUUGGGUGUAGGAUGAGCCUGCGGCCUAUCAGCUUGUUGGUGGGGUAAUGGCCUACCAAGGCGGCGAAGGGUAGCCGGCCGGAGAGGGUGGACGGCCCAAUUGGGGACGGGAUAAGGCCCAGAACUCCAAGGGAGGGAGGAGGGGGGAAAUAUGGCAAAAGGGCGGGAGCCCGAUGCCGCGAACGCCCGGGGGGGAUGACGGGCUUCGGGUUGGAAAAUCCCUUCGGUAGGGAAGAAGCUUUUUGUGACGGUAACUAGAUAAGAAGCACCGGCUAACUACGUG
rnacentral:rRNA from 1 species